CUCAGGUCCCCAGGUGCAGGUUACAGGUGUGUGUAGCCAUGGCCAGCUGUUAUGUGGGUCCUGGGGAUCCAGCUCAGGUCCUCAGGUGCAGGUUACAGGUGUGUGUGGCCAUGGCCAGCUGUUGUGUGGGUCCUGGGGAUCCAGCUCAGGUCCUCAGGUGCAGGUUACAGGUGUGUGUGGCCAUGGCCAGCUGUUGUGUGGGUCCUGGGGAUCCAUCUCAGGUCCUCAGGUGCAGGUUACAGGUGUGUGUGGCAUGACCAGCUGUUGUGUGG